AUACGUAGGUGGCAAGCGUUGUCCGGAAUGAUUGGGCGUAAAGGGCGCGUAGGCGGCCCGGUAAGUCUGGAGUGAAAGUCCUGUUUUUAAGAUGGGAAUUGCUUUGGAUACUGUCGGGCUUGAGUGCAGGAGAGGUAAGUGGAAUUCCCAGUGUAGCGGUGAAAUGCGUAGAGAUUGGGAGGAACACCAGUGGCGAAGGCGACUUACUGGACUGUAACUGACGCUGAGGCGCGAAAGUGUGGGGAGCAAACAUGAGUAGAUACCCUGGUAGUCCACACUGUAAACGAUGAAUGCUAGGUGUAGGGGGUAUCGACCCCUUCUGUGCCGCAGUCAACACAAUAAGCAUUCCGCCUGGGGAGUACGGCCGCAAGGUUGAAACUCAAAUGAAUUGACGGGG
rnacentral:rRNA from 1 species